rnacentral:misc_RNA from 1 species
UUUCCGUAGGUGAACCUGCGGAAAGAUCAUUAUUGAAUGAAACACUUCUGGCUUUAUGCUGUUGUGCUGGCCCUUUGGGCAAUGUGCACACGGCUCUGGUCACUUGUUUCUUCUGUUCCACCUGUGCACUGCCUGUAGACAUGCUGUGUCUAUGAUAUUUGUUAACACACAACAAUGUUAGUUGGCGUGUUAUAUAUAAUAAUAAAAUAUACAACUUUCAACAACGGAUCUCUUGGCUCUC